UUUUUUUUUUUUUUUUUUUGUCUUUUGUCUUUAUAGGCCCAUACCUCCUGGGAACCUCCAUAUGCUGCAGGUGUGGCCCUAAAAAGGACAAAAGACAAAAAAAAAAAAAAAUUUAAAGGACAAAUACAACAUAACUGAAAAUGAUUACCCUAAUUUUAGAAAGACAAAACUAAAAUCAAUGAUGACGAUGGGUACGUAUAGGAGACCAUGGUUUAAGGAAGCUUUUGCAACUGAGCAGCAACAAAUAUUAACUGAGAAUCCUCUAACUAUGGCCAAAGUGAGACAUGCGAUAUAGGCACAAUCUUAAUUUAAUUUUUUAAAAACAGUUCAGAUUAGGUCCAAAUAGAUUUAAGAAAAAUUUCAGAGCUGCAUUCACGUACAGUGUAAACCCAACUCAUUCUUCUUAAGUAACCGAACCUUACAGAAUUGGUAGGAAAUGUCCUAUUACCCAUAGCUGUUUUAAUAACCUACUCUUGUUUGUAGAUUUUUUUUUUUAAAGCGGCUAUAAUCAAUAGACCCUACCAUUCAUCCAGGGGGAAACUAGUAGAAAUUAGCUAAGGAAAUCGGAAACACUAGCUUACAGGUGGGGUGUUGUUAUGUAACACAGUGGUGACAGCACUGAAAGUAGAAUCUGACUGCUUGGACCAAAUCUCUCUCCUACAUUACAAGCUGAAUGACUUGGAAAACUACUUAAUCCCUCUGUGUCUCAAUUUCCCAUCUGUAAGAUGAAGAUAAUAACUGUAACACUUUGAUGGGUUCUUGUGAAGAAAAACUGGUGCUUGUAACGUAGACUGCCUGACACUCAGUGCAUAUACAAUAUGAGCAGUAUUGGAUGUCAGUCAGCAACAUGGAGUGGCUGGCUGUGAUUUUGGAGAAAUCUCCUAAUUUCUUCUCUUCAUUUCCCUCCUGAAAAUUUGAUACAGAACAGGCUUGCCAAUUGGUCUGUAUUGCACUGAUGAUCAUCACAUAGAAUAAAACCUUAUAACAUUUUAAUAUAAAAUAUAAGAACUUAACUCUAGUUUUCAUUCUCAUAUUUUCCUAAAAAUGCUAUUCAGUAAAUUUGUGUGUUGCGAUGCAGUUUUUAGAGAGUAUAGUUCCAUAUGCUUUUUGCUGUUGUAUGGUUUUGUUUCUUUUUUUUUUUUUAAUAUUUGGUAACUCUCUGGGGUAAUUGUCUAAAGAGUUUUUUCAACUUUAGGGGAAUAAAAGAAUGAGAAUAUACGCUAAUGGAAAUCAUUUGGAGAAACCUGAGUAAAUCUAGUAAUUGCGUGCCAUCUGUGGUAAGGAAAUUAAAUAGUGCACUCAACGUGAUUCAAUAAUUAAAUAUGUAUUUAUUAAAUCAUUUGUAAUAGCUUUAGUAUAUGACCUCAGGUCUCAAAGGCAACCACACAGUGAUUACCCUUGAAGCUUCAUGGAAAAGUGAAUUACAGAAUCAACUUUCUGUUCUUUUACUGCCUGGAUAUGCUUUACCUUGAAAUUUCAUUGUAAAAGAAACUUCCCUGUUCCUCACAACUCUUGCACACAACUUCAUCACCGCAGCGUGACAUGGGGUGGGGUUGUGGAGGGGAUGCAGAAUGUCAUGAAAAGUUGAUAGUAAACAGAAACAGUCAAAAAUUACCUGUGGGAGAUGGCAGAUGAGCAGAGAUACGGAGACAGAAGGCAGGCACUCUGCAUGGCAGCUGGACAGGAGAGAAGGUGCAUUAGUCAAAUGAAUUACAAAAAAAAUGAAAUUAAAUUCCAGAGAGCUUCUUCACAUUAUUAAGUUUUUUCAGACUUCGAGAUAGAUUCUUAGUUGCCUCUCUCCCUUCUUGCCACGGUGUUGCUUAGGGCAAAAAAUUUAAAUCUUAGCGUUUGGAGAACAAUGUAGAUCUUAAGUGAUCAACUUAGGAAAUGACAUGUUUCAUAAAACAUAGACUGAUUUUAACGUGGUAAACUUGAAUGACUUACUUUUAAAAGUCCAUUCUCACAGAUCGUGUCCAAAUAUUUGUUUUAUAAAUCCACAAGUUAAUGCUCAGGAUGUGUUUUCUUACUUCAUAAGCUAGAUUUCCUGGACAAUAUGAUGAAAAAAAAAAAAA
rnacentral:lncRNA from 1 species